UCACUAUGCUUAUGGUUCCUGUGGGGCAGAAAUUUGGACAGAUACAGUGAGGAUGGAUUGUCUCUGCUCCAUGAUGUCUGUGAGCUCAGCUGAGAAGUUUUAAAUGGUUGAGUGUGACUCCAAUGGUUGGGGGCUGGAACAUCUGGAAGCUUCUGUACUCACAAGUCUGUGCCGGGGAUAGGAUGCCUCAGAGGCUGGGCUCAGCUGAGACUAUCAACCAAACACUUACAUAUGGCCUAUCUGUGUGGCUUGGGCUUUCUUAUAACAUGGUAGCCUUUUCUUAUAUGGCGGUCAGUCUUCUUACACGGAGCCUCAGAGUUCUAAGAGCAAGUCAAGAGCAUCAGAAGACACACAUGGUCACUUUUGCCCUAUGCUGUGAGUCAGAGCAGACACAAGCCCUCACAGAUUGAAAAGGGGAGCGCAGGGACCCACCUCUCAAUAGGAGUGUCUUGUGACCUGUGUUAGAAUAAGCUGGGCUUUAGAACCUCCAUUCUCUUGAAUCAUACUCCACAAGUCUUUUGUUUGAAGCUGUCUGGUGGAGGAGAGUGCUGGAUUGAGGAGCAGCAGCCCAGGUCUCUGGGACUUGCUCUGCUCCCUCCCUGGAGCCUCCCUCAAGGGCAGCUCUCACGGCCUGUGCCGCUGGAUUUCAAGGGGCGACAGAGUGGUUGGGCCUCAAAGCACACUCUGAGGCAUUUCAGUUUGCUUCUCCCCUUAGCAGUUAAAAGGGCUUGUUGCAGUGGCAGCUUCGGGGAGAACACUGUUCUGGGGGGAUCAGAAGGGUAGCAGUGAGCUGGCUGGAAUGGAGAGGGGCCGCCCUGGGCAGGGAGGCCAAUGAGAUGACCACGCUAAGGUUCAGAACUGGGAUGGCACCUGUGUGCACAGAGAGGGGAGAAGGGCCAUGUCUCAGAGACCAAAGAACAAGAUAUGGGAGGGAGCAGCAGUUUUCAAGAAAUAAAGAGAUCAUCUGGCAGAUCAAUCACACAGCCGGAUUCCCAGGCCAGGUUAAUGAGGAUGUGUGGACAUUGUUCCUCCUCCCCACUGAAUGGCUUUCAAUAACAGCAGGAUCUCAGUCCCGUAGAAAUUACAUCGAAAACAAGUCAGCUGUUCCAAGCCUCCUAUUGCUAAUGAGCCUGAAGGUGGGGGUUCCUCACCCUCCGCCUCCAUUGCACGGGAAACUUAUGAAUUUUUAAACAUACAGAAAGCGCAUUGUUUGUGAUUACAUUAGACCUUCAAAAGGAAGCACGAACAUAAAUUUUGAGAUGAAUAGCCGAGUGCUGGAAGCCUGCCUCUCUGCUUGACUUCAAUAACUUAUCUCAAUGAAUCCCCAGCAGAAAGCAUCUUACAUACUUCAGUUCUUGAGAAGAUGAGACGAGAAUGCUGGGGAAUUAUAAGACAGAGGGCUUUAUUGCAACAGUGAACAAGCUGAAAAUUACAAGGUAAUGGAAUCUCAGUGGGAGGUCCUCGUACCCUGCCAUUAGCUAACUCAGACAAUGAUCGCUGCAAAAUCGACUGGGGUGAUCUAAGACUGCACAGGUUUCUGCACUUUGCAACUUCAUCUGGCUAAGCCCAGACAUAAUCGCACUUGAAGGGAGAGGGUACACCUGGCUGCCAGGAGCUUUGACCUUGGGGGAAAUGUCUACGGAAUUACCUGCCUUAGGAAUCCUUUAUCCUAUUGCAGAUGAUUUCAUUUGAGCCCUUGUGGUGUGUUGAAGCGAAAUAGUGUUCCGAAAAGCUGGAGCACCUGGGUCAGGCCUGGGAGGUGAUCCUGCUCUCCCGGGAGAUACCUCUGCACACUCUGCCUCCUACCCCUUUGCGGCAUUAUUGAACCAAAUGACAGCCUGAGCAGGGACCCCAGGCAUGAGCAUCUCUCUUGAAGGCUCCAGGCUGUGUAGGAAAUACAGAGGCAAAGGUGCAUCCCCUGAUUAUGGGCUAUGCAACCACAACCACAACAAUAACAAUACAAUAAUGCCUCAUGAAUGUGUAUACCAGGAACUGGGCUAGUGUUCUGCUUACCUUUUUUCUGACCUUUCCAACGACCACCCCAGGCAGACAAUCUUAGACCCCUUAUACAGAAGAAGAGAGAGAAGUUCAUCAUCUUAGUGCACAAGAAAUUUUGAUGACAUCGUCCCAUAAAACACUGUUUCCUAAAAUUUGGUUCUUUAAGGAUCAUCAUGAUUUUAACCCUAUCCAUGCACCAUAUUCUUUUUGGUCAUUUAUUUCUCUUUGAAUCAAUUUGCCCCUCUUGUCCAGGCUUAGCUUAGUUAAACACAGCAGAGGGAUGGGAAGUAGGGUUUGUCAGGAAAAGCCCUGAAUCACAGUCUUAGCAGGCUGCAGCAUCUGAGAAUCCAAGAUGAGGCUUGGAGAAGGCGGCAGACCUCGCUGAAGGAUGAAGGAAGGAUGGACAAAGUCUUGGCUAUAGGGGAUUCUGUGGGCAGCCUGCAGGGAGGAGAGGAAAGUAAUCUGCAUCAAUUGACUUCCUCAACUGUGACAUUUAAUGUGAGGUUCUGGUCCCCCGAAGGGGCUUACCAGAGCAGAACAGGGUACAGUAACCGGGAGCUGGGACCCUCACCAGGCUGGGAUGGUGGCACAGUAUGAGGUGUAGAUUCUGUUUCUAGAAUGAAAACCAAGGCAGGAAAUGAGGCUGGAACUCUACAAAACCCACAAGUCAGGGGCCUGAGGGCAGGACCUGAUUCUGGAGCGAUGCCCGCGCUCUUUCUCUUCCUUGACCUUCUUUAAUCCAGAG
rnacentral:lncRNA from 1 species